GAUGAACGCUGGCGGCGUGCCUAAUACAUGCAAGUCGAGCGAACAGACGAGGAGCUUGCUCCUCUGACGUUAGCGGCGGACGGGUGAGUAACACGUGGAUAACCUACCUAUAAGACUGGGAUAACUUCGGGAAACCGGAGCUAAUACCGGAUAAUAUAUUGAACCGCAUGGUUCAAUAGUGAAAGACGGUUUUGCUUUCACUUAUAGAUGGAUCCGCGCCGCAUUAGCUAGUUGGUAAGGUAACGGCUUACCAAGGCGACGGUGAGUAGCCGACCUGAGAGGGUGAUCGGACACACUGGAACUGAGACACGGUCCAGACUCCUACGGGAGGCAGCAGUAGGGAAUCUUCCGCAAUGGGCGAAAGCCUGACGGAGCAACGCCGCGUGAGUGAUGAAGGUCUUCGGAUCGUAAAACUCUGUUAUUAGGGAAGAACAAAUGUGUAAGUAACUAUGCACGUCUUGACGGUACCUAAUCAGAAAGCCACGGCUAACUACGUG
rnacentral:rRNA from 1 species